UUUCCUACGGGGGGCAGCAGUGAGGAAUAUUGGUCAAUGGGCGGGAGCCUGAACCAGCCAAGCCGCGUGAAGGAAGAAGGCGCCAGGCGUCGUAAACUUCUUUUGUCGGGGAACAAAGGGCGCCACGCGUGGCGUUGUGAGUGUACCCGAAGAAAAAGCAUCGGCUAACUCCGUGCCAGCAGCCGCGGUAAUACGGAGGAUGCGAGCGUUAUCCGGAUUUAUUGGGUUUAAAGGGUGCGUAGGCGGUCCGGAAAGUCAGCGGUAAAAGCCCAGGGCUCAACCCCGGGACUGCAUUGGGAACUGCC
rnacentral:rRNA from 1 species